GAUGAACGCUGGCGGCGUGCCUAACACAUGCAAGUCGAGCGAAGCGGGGACGGGGGAGUAACACGUGGAUAACCUCCUAUAAGACUGGGGUAACUUAGGGAAACCGGCGCUAAACCGGAUACUUAGAGAUGGAUCCGCGCUGCAUUAGCUAGUUGGUAAGGUAACGGCUUACCAAGGCAACGAUGCCUAGCCGACCUGAAAGUGUGAUCGGCCACACUGGAACUGAGACACGGUCCAGACUCCGACGUGAGGCAGCAGUAGGGAAUCUUCCGCAAUGGGCGAAAGCCUGACGGAGCCACGCCGCGUGAGUGAUGAAGGUCUUCGGAUCGUAAAGCUCUUUUAUUAGGGAAGCGGUACCUAAUCAGAAAGCCCCGGCUAACUCCGUGCCAGCAGCCGCGGUAAUUC
rnacentral:rRNA from 1 species